rnacentral:rRNA from 1 species
CUGUGUAGGAUAGGUGGGAGGCUAUGAAACCGGAACGCUAGUUUCGGUGGAGCCGUCCUUGAAAUACCACCCUGGUUUGUUUGAGGUUCUAACCUUGGCCCGUGAUCCGGGUCGGGGACAGUGCAUGGUAGGCAGUUUGACUGGGGCGGUCUCCUCCCAAAGCGUAACGGAGGAGUACGAAGGUACGCUAGGUACGGUCGGAAAUCGUGCUGAUAGUGCAAUGGCAUAAGCGUGCUUAACUGCGAGACCG